CCUGAGGGAUGGCUCUUGAGCCCUUAAAUAAUGAACUGCAACCUAACUUAGUAUGUAAACUAACUGAAAGCUUAAGGCAUGGGAGUAUACUUUUGUAACAAAUAGCUGAGUCUCAGCCAAUCCCAGUAGCCGAACUUCAGUCGGCGGCAGUCAACCCUGCAGCCAAGUGAUCAGACUAUGUUCAAAUAAGGCCAACUCUGAGCUGUAACCAAUUAAGCUGUUUCUGUGUGUCACUUCCCUUGUGGAAUGGAGCUCACUGAACCUCUCUGAUGGCUGCCCGAUCGUUCUGAUGGGUGGUGAGUGGGUGCUGAUGGCAGCCUGGUUUGAAAAUCUCCACUGGAGAGAAGACACAGCAGGAUUCAGAUGCAAAUGACCAGAGCACUCCAAGUUGGAAAGAACUGCUGAGCGGGUCUGUAGAGCCCAUCGCUCUCUCCUGUCUAUUCAUCAGCUAGGCUGAAGCUCCUGACAGACUCACACCAGUAUCUUGCUGCUCCAGAAAGGUCGAAGAUGGCAGUUUUCCCAAACUCCGGCUUGCCCAGAUGUCUGCUCACCCUCAUUCUUCUCCAGCUGCCCAAGCUGGUUUCAGAUAGGUCUCUCUCUCUGGCCUGCAGAGUUAAAACAUCUCAAUAAAUAUAAAGUAUAAAAAGAAGCUGGAGCCCAACCACUUCGGCACAUGUUCACAGGAUCUCGGGGCUGUGUCACAAGCCACUGGGCACUCAUAUCUGGCUGAGAAUAAAUCUCUUGCAAUAUUUUA
rnacentral:lncRNA from 1 species